rnacentral:rRNA from 1 species
UACAGAGGGGGCAAGCGUUGUUCGGAAUUACUGGGCGUAAAGGGCGCGUAGGCGGCCUGCUAAGUCGAACGUGAAAUCCCUGGGCUCAACCCAGGAACUGCGUCCGAUACUGGUUGGCUUGAAUCCGGGAGAGGGACGUGGAAUUCCAGGUGUAGCGGUGAAAUGCGUAGAUAUCUGGAGGAACACCGGUGGCGAAGGCGACGUCCUGGACCGGCAUUGACGCUGAGGCGCGAAAAGCCAGGGGGAGCAAACGGG